rnacentral:misc_RNA from 1 species
AGAGUGAAGAUAAGAAGCAGCAGAGGCAGCUAUCUGAUAAGCGGUGGAGGCACUUAUACGAUGGCCAUUAUUCUUUUGUUCUGUGCCCUCUGCCUCCUUCUCUGAACGCCCUUUCUCUGCUUCUUGAUCUUCAGCUGACACCUGAACUUUCUCUGCUUUCAUCGCCAAUUCUCUUUUCUCUAUUGAUGAAGUCACAAACUGGAAGCCACGGUAUUUUUUUAAGAGAUUUCCUGCCUUGAU